UCAAACACCUGUUCUCGUACGAUCACCGAAGUUAAGCAAUGUGGAGCCUGGAGAGUACAUAGAUCAGUUACCUUUCGUGAAUACCAGGUGUUGUAA